rnacentral:rRNA from 1 species
CGCGUAGGCGGUGAGAUGAGUGUGAUGUGAAAGCCCCGGGCUUAACCUGGGAAGUGCAUCGCAAACGAUCUGACUGGAGUAUAAGAGAGGGUGGCGGAAUUUCCGGUGUAGCGGUGAAAUGCGUAGAGAUCGGAAGGAACGUCAAUGGCGAAGGCAGCCACCUGGCUUAAUACUGACGCUGAGGCGCGAAAGCGUGGGGAGCGAACAGGAUUAGAUACCCUGGUAGUCCACGCUGUAAACGAUGAAGACUAGAUGUUGAUAGGGGAACCUAGCAGUAUCGAAGCUAACGCGAUAAGUCUUCCGCCUGGGAAGUACGGCCGCAAGGUUGAA